GUGCUCACUUCAGCAGCACAUACACUAAAAUUGGAAUGUACAAAGAAGAUUAGGGUGGCCCCCACACAAGGAUGACAUGGAAAUUCAUGAAGCAUUCCAUAUUUUC